GCCCUGGUAGCUCAACUGGCAGAGCGUCCGCCUCGUAAGCGGAAGGUUGGGGGUUCGAGGCCCCUCCAGGGCU
rnacentral:tRNA from 2 species